CAGGCUGCAACUCGCCUGCAUGAAGUUGGAAUUGCUAGUAAUCGCGAAUCAGAAUGUCGCGGUGAAUACGUUCCCGGGCCUUGUACACACCGCCCGUCACACCAUGAGAGUCGAUAACACCCGAAGCCUGUGAGCUAACCGUAAGGAGGCAGCAGUCGAAGGUGGGGUUGAUGAUUGGGGUGAAGUCGUAACAAGGUAUC
rnacentral:rRNA from 1 species